rnacentral:rRNA from 1 species
UACGUAGGGUCCAAGCGUUGUCCGGAUUUAUUGGGCGUAAAGAGCUCGUAGGCGGCUCAGUAAGUCGGAUGUGAAAACUCGGGGCUCAACCCCGAGACGCCAUUCGAUACUGCUGUGGCUUGAGUCUGGUAGGGGAACACGGAAUUCCUGGUGUAGCGGUGAAAUGCGCAGAUAUCAGGAGGAACACCAAUGGCGAAGGCAGCUCGCUGGGACGGUACUGACGCUGAGACGCGAAAGCGUGGGGAGCAAACAGG